rnacentral:tRNA from 1 species
GGGGUUGUGGCUCAGUGGUAGAGUGCUUGUCUAGCAUAUAUGAGACACUGGGUUAGAUCCGCAGCCCCA